AACAAACCUCAAGCCUGGCUUGGUAUUGGGCCUCCGGGACGAUUCCGGGCCCCAAAUGCGUCGGCUAUCAAUUAGUAAAUGGGGAGUGCUGUAGCAUGGUGCCGUAACCAUUCACAAAUCUUUACUGGCACGAAGCUCGCAGGCCCCUGCCUUGCGCGUUCGCAUCGGUCGUUCGGACCGAACACAA
rnacentral:misc_RNA from 1 species